AUUGAACGCUGGCGGCAGGCCUAACACAUGCCAGUCGAGCGGCUGCAGGGGGCUUGCCCCUGGAUUCCGAGGCGGACGGGUGAGUAAUGCCUAUGAAUCUGCCUGCUAGUGGGGGAUAACGUCCGGAGACGGGCGCUUAUACCGCACACGUCAUGAAGGAGAGAGAGGGGGAUCUUCGCACCUCUCGCUCUCAGGUGUGCCUAGGUCGGAUUAGCUAGUUGGUGGGGUAAAGGCCUACCAAGGCGACGAUCCGUAACUGGUCUGAGAGGAUGAUCAGUCACACUGGAACUGAGACACGGUCCAGACUCCUACGGGAGGCAGCAGUGGGGAAUUUUGGACAAUGGGCGAAAGCCUGAUCCAGCCAUGCCGCGUGUGUGAAGAAGGUCUUCGGAUUGUAAAGCACUUUAAGUUGGGAGGAAGGGCAGUAAGUUAAUACCUUGCUGUUUUGACGGUACCAACAGAAUAAGCACCGGCUAACUUCGUG
rnacentral:rRNA from 1 species